rnacentral:rRNA from 1 species
GCUGAUGCGUUGUUGGGUAGGGGAGCGUUCUGUAAGCCUGCGAAGGUGACCUGUGAGGGUUGCUGGAGGUAUCAGAAGUGCGAAUGCUGACAUAAGUAACGAUAAAGCGGGUGAAAAGCCCGCUCGCCGGAAGACCAAGGGUUCCUGUCCAACGUUAAUCGGGGCAGGGUGAGUCGACCCCUAAGGCGAGGCCGAAAGGCGUAGUCGAUGGGAAACGGGUUAAUAUUCCCGUACUUGGUGUUACUGCGAAGGGGGGACGGAGAAGGCUAUGUUGGCCGGGCGACGGUUGUCCCGGUUUAAGCGUGUAGGUGUGUGUUCCAGGUAAAUCCGGUUCACUUUAACACUGAGGCGUGAUGACGAGGCACUACGGUGCUGAAGCAACAAAUGCCCUGCUUCCAGGAAAAGCCUCUAAGCAUCAGGUAACAUCAAAUCGUACCCCAAACCGACACAGGUGGUCAGGUAGAGAAUACCAAGGCGCUUGAGAGAACUCGGGUGAAGGAACUAGGCAAAAUGGUGCCGUAACUUCGGGAGAAGGCACGCUGACACGUAGGUGAAGUGAUUUACUCACGGAGCUGAAGUCAGUCGAAGAUACCAGCUGGCUGCAACUGUUUAUUAAAAACACAGCACUGUGCAAACACGAAAGUGGACGUAUACGGUGUGACGCCUGCCCGGUGCCGGAAGGUUAAUUGAUGGGGUCAGCGCAAGCGAAGCUCCUGAUCGAAGCCCCGGUAAACGGCGGCCGUAACUAUAACGGUCCUAAGGUAGCGAAAUUCCUUGUCGGGUAAGUUCCGACCUGCACGAAUGGCGUAAUGAUGGCCAGGCUGUCUCCACCCGAGACUCAGUGAAAUUGAACUCGCUGUGAAGAUGCAGUGUACCCGCGGCAAGACGGAAAGACCCCGUGAACCUUUACUAUAGCUUGACACUGAACAUUGAGCCUUGAUGUGUAGGAUAGGUGGGAGGCUUUGAAGUGUGGACGCCAGUCUGCAUGGAGCCGACCUUGAAAUACCACCCUUUAAUGUUUGAUGUUCUAACGUGGACCCGUAAUCCGGGUUGCGGACAGUGUCUGGUGGGUAGUUUGACUGGGGCGGUCUCCUCCUAAAGAGUAACGGAGGAGCACGAAGGUUGGCUAAUCCUGGUCGGACAUCAGGAGGUUAGUGCAAUGGCAUAAGCCAGCUUGACUGCGAGCGUGACGGCGCGAGCAGGUGCGAAAGCAGGUCAUAGUGAUCCGGUGGUUCUGAAUGGAAGGGCCAUCGCUCAACGGAUAAAAGGUACUCCGGGGAUAACAGGCUGAUACCGCCCAAGAGUUCAUAUCGACGGCGGUGUUUGGCACCUCGAUGUCGGCUCAUCACAUCCUGGGGCUGAAGUAGGUCCCAAGGGUAUGGCUGUUCGCCAUUUAAAGUGGUACGCGAGCUGGGUUUAGAACGUCGUGAGACAGUUCGGUCCCUAUCUGCCGUGGGCGCUGGAGAACUGAGGGGGGCUGCUCCUAGUACGAGAGGACCGGAGUGGACGCAUCACUGGUGUUCGGGUUGUCAUGCCAAUGGCACUGCCCGGUAGCUAAAUGCGGAAGAGAUAAGUGCUGAAAGCAUCUAAGCACGAAACUUGCCCCGAGAUGAGUUCUCCCUGAGACUUAGAGUCUCCUGAAGGAACGUUG